rnacentral:rRNA from 1 species
UACGUAGGGGGCAAGCGUUGUCCGGAUUUAUUGGGCGUAAAGAGCGUGUAGGCGGCCUUACAGGUCAGCUGUGAAAACUCGAGGCUCAACCUCGAGACGUCGGUUGAAACCGUAUGGCUAGAGUCCGGAAGAGGAGAGUGGAAUUCCCGGUGUAGCGGUGAAAUGCGCAGAUAUCAGGAAGAACACCCGUGGCGAAGGCGGUUCUCUGGGACGGUACUGACGCUGAGACGCGAAAGCGUGGGGAGCGAACAGG